UACGAAGGGUGCUAGCGUUGUUCGGAAUUACUGGGCGUAAAGCGCGCGUAGGCGGCUUAACAAGUCAGGGGUGAAAUCCUGGAGCUCAACUCCAGAAUUGCCUUUGAAACUGUUAGCUUGAGUGUCGGAGGGGAUAGCGGAAUUGCUAAUGUAGAGGUGAAAUUCGUAGAUAUUAGCAGGAACACCGGUGGCGAAGGCGGCUAUCUGGACGACAACUGACGCUGAGGCGCGAAAGCGUGGGGAUCAAACAGGG
rnacentral:rRNA from 1 species